UUUUGAAACUGUUAUAACACAACUUAUAACAUUGGAAAUACAUUAUUUUAUUAAUACAAAGUUGUUUUCAUAGUAAAAUACCAAAUUAAAGUCAGAAUGAAACAUACCAUAUACAUGUAGACGACAAAUGAAAACUGUCAAUGUAUCCUUAUCUCUAAAAAGCCACAAAUUACAUUCUUUGAAGUAAAUAUUGGGUUUUAUUUCCUAAACUAUACACAUCAAUAUCACCUCCUGAAGCUUUUUACCCAGUUUCACGGUUGGUAUUUCGGACAUGCAAUGUUCCAUGCUGUCAACCUUGGAAUGCCUCGUUUGGAUACAGGGAGACAAAGACUUGGAGACCCAGAAGUCUGAAAGUGGUUCUUGACCGACUUUGUCCACUCAAAUUAAGGCAUCAUGCAGCUGGUCAUCACUUACAUUGCUGGUUGCACGCAGGCACACACACACCAGUGCUCACAGCCAGCACGUGUUAAGAAUGGCUGAGCUGGACCAAAUGGUAUGCGUGUCUUUCAUCAAUAUAAACAUGGACUGCAUUCAUCUGGACACGGGCCUUUCCCACCUACCGAGCCUGCCCACCACCCGAAGUUUAAGCUCAUCUUGGAAGACCUGACACUCAGCAAGCCGUCUCCCCUUGUUCCACCGGCUUUGUGGCCCCAAUGUCUGUAUAAGCUGCUGAUUUGCCUUCGGAAAACAAACCAGCAUCGAUUUCAGAGAAAUUACUGGAUAAUUUGCGCUGUGAGGCGCCUAGAUCGCAAGGCGCACUCCACAAAUGACAGCCGCUCCCGUGCACUUGUCCAGUCAUUCGGGUGGCAUAGUGUCCGGGUGGAAGCCCGCCAAAAUAAUCCAUUUGGAAGGCACGGAGGGCUUCACUAGAAAUUGCCUUCCUGUAGCUAUGAGACAUUGAGCAAAACAGAUAAGAACUGGGGCAAUGGAGGCAUAAACAUUAAGGCUAGGAUGUAUUUUUGGGGAGAAAGCGGAGGCUAGCAGGGAGGAAGCUCAACUUUAUGCACCGCGCCCGGGAAUGCUUUGCCUUUAACCACUAGCUGAGCCGCCCGGCUGAGGGAGCCCUCCGGCAAUGAGCGCACGCAACCGUGAAGUCAGAUUCCUCCGCCGACCGCGGCCCUCUCUCCUCGGGCUUUGCCUUCGCUCUCCAGCUUUUCUUCUUUCACUCCCGCUCGCCGACUCCAGUCCGCUGGGCUCACGCUCUGCCGGACACCAAUCCCGGCUGCCCUGCCCGACGGAGCUCAAGGCUAGGCCUGGCCUUGUCCGCGGAGUCCGCCCCUCGCCGCCACCGGGAUCCGCCCCCGCGCCGACACGCACUUCCGGCAGCGCCGCGGCCGGGAGGGACCGAGCGGGGAGCAAGGCCUGCGGUGAGGCGCAGGAUGGACGCGUUGGCUGUCAUGAUGUAGGAUCUCCUGACCUAGAACCAUGCCCGGCGCAGGGAGAACAACGAGCUUAUGGACCGGGUGCGGGGGCUGCUGUGCGAGAAAGCCUACCUGCUGGCCCGGGAGCGUUCGCUGGCCCACCUGGUGGCUUUCCCUAGACGUUUAACGGCGACUCCGCCCGGCCUCCCGACUUUUUGAUGCAGGCGUUCUCUUACAUGACUUUCUUCGAGGCUAGAUUCUCGAAAGACAUCCUGAAGGUGGCUUUCUUAAUUAGCUGCCUCACCGAGUGGCGGAGCAGUUCGUAGUCCCCUACAUCGAGAGGGAGAGCCCCGUCCUGGCUCAGUACUAGGGCUUCGUGGACGCGCUGUAGCGGGCCUUGGCCGUUGUGGGUAGGAAACAGUCGGGCCGGAUCCCCGGUGUCUGGGGAGCGGCUGCGGCCCGGGCCCGCGCGAGCCACUUCGCUCCUACAAGCCCGGCUCACUAGUUCCAAGCUGCUGGACUUUGACCCUCGCUGGGAAGCUUGAUCGCCGCCUGUUCUCGCCAAUCUCUGCCUUUGCACUGCCCAGCAACCCGGUCACUGCCCAGGACCUGUUAAAAGUUGAAUGGACCUCCCAGAAUCACGCCGCUGCCACCGCCGUUUCUAGAGACGGCUUUUGGCCACCUUUGAGAAUCAGGGUCAAACUUGGAAGGGCCUGCAUUUGUCACACCUCCUCGGACACUAAUUUGGAUAGUUCAGGCCCAGAGACAGCUUCCCGGAUCCUUUGCACAUGGCCUGCUAUCAACAAUCUUCUACAAUGAUUCUCAGCAUCACCUGGGGAGCUUAUGCAAAAUCUCAAAUUCCUGGGCCCUAUCCCCAGAGUUUCUUAUCGAGUAAGUCUGCAUUGGGAUCUGAGGAUUUGCAUCUCUAACAAAAAUUCCUAGGCGAUGCUCACACUGUUGGUGUAAGGGUGAGUACAAAUUAGAAAUAAAACUAUUUAAUUCUGC
rnacentral:lncRNA from 1 species